rnacentral:rRNA from 1 species
CAGAUUGAACGCUGGCGGAAUGCUUUACACAUGCAAGUCGAGUGGCAGCGCGGGGCAACCUGGCGGCGAGCGGCGAACGGGUGAGUAACACAUCGGAACGUACCCUGUUGUGGGGGAUAGCCCGGCGAAAGCCGGAUUAAUACCGCAUAAGACCUGAGGGUGAAAGCGGGGGACCGCAAGGCCUCGCGCGACAGGAGCGGCCGAUGGCGGAUUAGCUAGUUGGUGGGGUAAAGGCUCACCAAGGCGACGAUCCGUAGCUGGUCUGAGAGGAUGAUCAGCCACACUGGAACUGAGACACGGUCCAGACUCCUACGGGAGGCAGCAGUGGGGAAUUUUGGACAAUGGGGGCAACCCUGAUCCAGCCAUUCCGCGUGAGUGAAGAAGGCCUUCGGGUUGUAAAGCUCUUUCGGCAGGAACGAAACGGUGGGCUCUAACAUAGUCUGCUAAUGACGGUACCUGAAGAAGAAGCACCGGCUAACUACGUGCCAGCAGCCGCGGUAAUACGUAGGGUGCGAGCGUUAAUCGGAAUUACUGGGCGUAAAGCGUGCGCAGGCGGUUUCGUAAGACAGAUGUGAAAUCCCCGGGCUUCACCUGGGAACUGCGUCUGUGACUGCGAGA